rnacentral:rRNA from 1 species
AGGACGAACGCUGGCGGCGUGCUUAACACAUGCAAGUCGAGCGGAAAGGCCCUUCGGGGUACUCGAGCGGCGAACGGGUGAGUAACACGUGAGCAACCUGCCCUUAGCUCUGGGAUAGCUCCGGGAAACCGGAAUUAAUACCGGAUAUGACCUAGGCCGACAUCGACCGUGGUGGAAAGUUUUUCGGCUAGGGAUGGACUCGCGGCCUAUCAGCUAGUUGGUGGGGUAAUGGCCUACCAAGGCGACGACGGGUAGCCGGCCUGAGAGGGCGACCGGCCACACUGGGACUGAGACACGGCCCAGACUCCUACGGGAGGCAGCAGUGGGAAUCUUGCGCAAUGGGCGAAAGCCUGACGCAGCGACGCCGCGUGGGGGAUGAAGGCCUUCGGGUUGUAAACCCCUUUCAGCAGGGACGAAGCGAAAGUGACGGUACCUGCAGAAGAAGCGCCGGCUAACUACGCGCCAGCAGCCGC